rnacentral:rRNA from 1 species
UCAAGCUACAAAGGGCUCACGGAGGAUACCUAGGCACACAGAGGCGAUGAAGGACGUGGUUACCUGCGAUAAGUCUCGGGGAGUUGGAAGCACACUUUGAUCCGGGAAUUUCCGAAUGGGGCAACCCCUUGAACGACCAACUGAAUAUAUAGGUUGGUGCGAGCUAACCCAGCGAACUGAAACAUCUUAGUAGCUGGAGGAAGAGAAAGUAAAUAACGACUCCCUCAGUAGCGGCGAGCGAACGGGGAAUAGCCCAAACCGAUAGUCUUGACUAUCGGGGUUGUGGGACAGCAAUAUGGAUCAACAAUUCUAGAAGAAACGUUUGAAUGGCGUGCCAUAGAGGGUGAAAGCCCCGUAAUUGAAAGAUGAGUUGACCUAGCUGUAUCCCGAGUAGCACGGAGCACGUGGAAUUCCGUGUGAAUCUGCGAGGACCACCUCGUAAGGCUAAGUACUACUGUGUGACCGAUAGUGAAACAGUACCGCGAGGGAAAGGUGAAAAGAACCCCGGGAGGGGAGUGAAAUAGAACAUGAAACCGUGAGCUUACAAGCAAUGGGAGCCCGACUAAUCGGGUGACCGUGUGCCUGUUGAAGAAUGAGCCGGCGACUUAUAGGCACUGGCGGGUUAAACCGGAAAUGGUGGAGCCACAGCGAAAGCGAGUCUUAAUAGGGCGUUUGUCAGUGUUUAUAGACCCGAACCCUGGUGAUCUAACCAUGGCCAGGAUGAAGCUUGGGUGAUACCAAGUGGAGGUCCGAACCGACUGAAGUUGAAAAUUCAGCGGAUGAGCUGUGGUUAGGGGUGAAAUGCCAAUCGAACCAGGAGCUAGCUGGUUCUCCCCGAAAUACGUUGAGGCGUAGCGUCUAGUGCUCCAGCAGGGGGGUAAAGCAACCAUUUCGGUGCGGGCUGCGAAAGCGGUACCAAAUCGAUAUGAACUCUGAAUACCCUGUGUGUAACUAGGCAGUCAGACUGUGGGGGAUAAGCUCCAUAGUCAAGAGGGAAACAGCCCAGACCGCCAGCUAAGGUCCCAAAAUUAACGCUAAGUGAUAAAGGAGGUGGGAUUGCCCAGACAACCAGGAGGUUUGCCUAGAAGCAGCCAUCCUCAAAGGAGUGCGUAAUAGCUCACUGGUCGAGCGAUCCUGCGCCGAAAAUGAAUGGGGCUAAGCGUUAUACCGAAGCUGCGGAUAAAUUUAUUUAUGGUAGGGGAGCGUUCUAUGUUGGGUGAAGCGUUAGCGUAAGCGGACGUGGACGGCAUAGAAGUGAGAAUGUCGGCUUGAGUAGCGAAAACAUGGGUGAGAAUCCCAUGCCCCGAAACCCUAAGGGUUCCUCCGGCAGGCUCGUCCGCGGAGGGUUAGUCUGGACCUAAGGCGAGGCCGAAAGGCGUAGUCGAUGGAUAACAGGUCAAUAUUCCUGUACCAGUUAUGUUUUGGGAAGGGGGACGGAGAAGGCUAGCCAGGCCAGAUGUUGGUUACUGGUUCAAGCGUUCAAGGCUUUGAGAGAUGGAGAAAACAUCUUGAGCUGAGGCGUGAGUACGAGCUGCUACGGCAGCGAAGUUGGUGAUGUCAUGCUUCCAAGAAAAGCCCUAUACCCGUUAAGACAUAAAUGCCAGUACCCGAAACCGACACAGGUGGGGUGGUAGAGAAUACCGAGGGGCGCGAGAUAACUCUCUCUAAGGAACUCGGCAAAAUGGCCCCGUAACUUCGGGAGAAGGGGUGCCAGCGAGAGCUGGUCGCAGUGAAGAGGCGCAAGCGACUGUUUACCAAAAACACAGGUCUCCGCUAAGUCGCAAGACGAUGUAUGGGGGCUGACACCUGCCCAGUGCCGGAAGGUUAAGGAAGCUGGUUAGCUUUUAGCAAAGCUAGCGACUGAAGCCCCGGUGAACGGCGGCCGUAACUAUAACGGUCCUAAGGUAGCGAAAUUCCUUGUCGGGUAAGUUCCGACCCGCACGAAAGGUGUAACGAUUUGCGCGCUGUCUCGGAGAGAGGCUCGGCGAAAUAGAAUUGUCUGUGAAGAUGCGGACUACAUACACCCGGACAGAAAGACCCUAUGAAGCUUUACUGUAGUUUGAUAUUGUGCUCGGGCUCUAAUUGCGCAGAAUAGGUGGGAGACAUUGAAAUAGUACUUGUGGGUAUUAUUGAGUCAUCGGUGAGAUACCACUCUAUUAGAGCUAGGGUUCUAACGCUUACCCGUUAUCCGGGAAGCGGACAGUAUCUGAUGGGCAGUUUGACUGGGGCGGUCGCCUCCUAAAAGGUAACGGAGGCGCACAAAGGUUCCCUCAGGCUGGUUGGAAAUCAGUCGUUGAGUGCAAAAGCAGAAGGGAGCUUGACUGUGAGACCUACAAGUCGAACAGGGACGAAAGUCGGUUUUAGUGAUCCGACGGUUCUGCGUGGAAGGGCCGUCGCUCAACGGAUAAAAGUUACUCUAGGGAUAACAGGCUGAUCUCCCCCAAGAGUUCACAUCGACGGGGAGGUUUGGCACCUCGAUGUCGGCUCAUCGCAACCUGGGGCUGAAGUCGGUCCCAAGGGUUGGGCUGUUCGCCCAUUAAAGCGGUACGCGAGCUGGGUUCAGAACGUCGUGAGACAGUUCGGUCCAUAUCCGGUGUAUGCGCAGGAAUAUUGAGAGGAUUUCUCCCUAGUACGAGAGGACCGGGAGGAACGCACCUCUGGUGUGCCAGUUAUCGUGCCAACGGUAAACGCUGGGUAGCCAUGUGCGGAGUGGAUAACCGCUGAAAGCAUCUAAGUGGGAAGCCCACCUCAAGAUGAGUAUUGCCAUGGCUUAAGCCAGUAAGGUCACGGGAAGAACACCCGUUGAUAGGCUCUACGUGGAAGCUUGGUAACAAGUGCAGCGGAGGAGUACUAAUAGACCGAGGGCUUGACCAA